rnacentral:lncRNA from 1 species
GCCGCCACCGCCUCAGGGAAGAGGAAGGAGGCCGCGGCUUCGCGUCCCGCCUCUCGCCUGGCUGGCCGUGGGGGGCCUGGACGCAGUGGCCUCCCGAAUCUCCCAGGACCCUAAUAUCGCCCGAGGAUGCUGGGAGGAACGCUGAGCCGACCUCUCCGUUAGGCUGAAGAUUGCACAAACCAUGCUAAUGGCCAGCAUGGAUGGAGGGAGCGUGUGAGAUGUGUGGGGCAGCGUGCUGCAUCUCAGCCAACUCCAGGAGCCAGUUGAUGUGAUGGACUACCUUAAUUGAUUUUUGAAUGUUGAGCCAGCCUUAUGCAUGUGGGAUAAACCCCUGUUGAUCAUGGCUGGCUGGAGUGCAGUGGUGCAAUCAUGGCUCACUGCAACCUCAAAUUCCUGGGCUCAAGGGAUCCUCCUGCCUCAGCCUCCCAAGUAGCUAGGACUACAGGAAUAAGGGAGAUGAU